rnacentral:rRNA from 1 species
CCUACGGGCGGCAGCAGUGGGGAAUAUUGCGCAAUGGGCGAAAGCCUGACGCAGCGACGCCGCGUGAGGGAUGAAGGUCUUCGGAUCGUAAACCUCUGUCAGCAGGGAAGAACGGUCACUGUGCUAAUCAGCAGUGAAUUGACGGUACCUGCAAAGGAAGCACCGGCUACCUCCGUGCCAGCAGCCGCGGUAAUACGGAGGGUGCGAGCGUUAAUCGGAAUUACUGGGCGUAAAGCGCUCGUAGGCGGUAUGCCAAGUCAAGGGUGAAAUCCCCGCGCUCAACGUGGGAACUGCCUUUGAAACUGGCAAACUGGGGUGUGUGAGAGGAUAGUGGAAUUCCAGGUGUAGGAGUGAAAUCCGUAGAUAUCUGGAGGAACAUCAGUGGCGAAGGCGACUAUCUGGCACAUAACUGACGCUGAGGAGCGAAAGCGUGGGUAGCAAACAGGAUUAGAUACCCGAGUAGUC